CCCAGCACCAAGUGGCACAACUCCUACAGGGAGCCCUUCGAGCAGCACCUCCUGCUGGGCGUCAGCGUUUCCUGCAUUGUCAUCCUGGCCGUCUGCCUGUUGUGCUAUGUCAGCAUCACCAAGAUUAAGAAAGAAUGGUGGGAUCAGAUUCCCAACCCAGCCCGCAGCCGCCUCGUGGCUAUAAUAAUCCAGGAUGCUCAGGGGUCACAGUGGGAGAAGCGGUCCCGAGGCCCUUGGGCACCUCGACUUGUGAACGAGUUGUUGGCUGCUCCCUCCACAGCUUCUGCAGCAGACUGUCCCUGUUGUAACUGCCCAAGGCAUGUUUUGCCCACCAGAUCAUGGCCCACGUGGAGGCCCACCUGCCUCUGUCUCACUGAACUAGAAGCCGAGCCUAGAAACUAACACAGCCAUCAAGGGAAUGACU
rnacentral:lncRNA from 1 species